AGUGAACGCUGGCGGUAGGCCUAACACAUGCAAGUCGAACGGCAGCACAGUAAGAGCUUGCUCUUACGGGUGGCGAGUGGCGGACGGGUGAGGAAUACAUCGGAAUCUACUUUUUCGUGGGGGAUAACGUAGGGAAACUUACGCUAAUAACGCAUACGACCUACGGGUGAAAGCAGGGGAUCUUCGGACCUUGCGCGAUUGAAUGAGCCGAUGUCGGAUUAGCUAGUUGGCGGGGUAAAGGCCCACCAAGGCGACGAUCCGUAGCUGGUCUGAGAGGAUGAUCAGCCACACUGGAGCUGAGACACGGUCCAGACUCCUACGGGAGGCAGCAGUGGGGAAUAUUGGACGAAGGGCGCAAUCCUGAUCCAGCCAUGCCGCGUGGGUGAAGAAGGCCUUCGGGUUGUAAAGCCCUUUUGUUGGGAAAGAAAGGCAGCAGGUUAAUACCCCGCUGUUCUGACGGUACCCAAAGAAUAAGCACCGGCUAACUUCGUG
rnacentral:rRNA from 1 species